rnacentral:rRNA from 1 species
UACGUAGGGUGCGAGCGUUGUCCGGAAUUAUUGGGCGUAAAGAGCUCGUAGGCGGUGUGUCGCGUCGGCCGUGAAAACUGUGGCUUAACUAUGAGCUUGCGGUCGAUACGGGCAUCACUGGAGUUCGGCAGGGGAGACUGGAAUUUACGGUGUAGCGGUGAAAUGCGUAGAUAUCGUAAGGAAGACCAGUGGCGAAGGCGGGUCUCUGGACAGUUCCUGACGCUGAGGCACGAAGGCCAGGGGAGCAAACGGG